GUGAGACAGGUGCUGCAUGGCUGUCGUCAGCUCGUGUUGUGAAAUGUUGGGUUAAGUCCCGCAACGAGCGCAACCCUUAUCCUUUGUUGCCAGCGGUCCGGCCGGGAACUCAAAGGAGACUGCCAGUGAUAAACUGGAGGAAGGUGGGGAUGACGUCAAGUCAUCAUGGCCCUUACGACCAGGGCUACACACGUGCUACAAUGGCGCAUACAAAGAGAAGCGAACUCGCGAGAGCAAGCGGACCUCAUAAAGUGCGUCGUAGUCCGGAUUGGAGUCUGCAACUCGACUCCAUGAAGUCGGAAUCGCUAGUAAUCGUGGAUCAGAAUGCCACGGUGAAUACGUUCCCGGGCCUUGUACACACCGCCCGUCACACCAUGGGAGUGGGUUGCAAAAGAAGUAGGUAGCUUAACCUUCGGGAGGGCGCUUACCACUUUGUGAUUCAUGACUGGGGUGAAGUCGUAACAAGGUAACCGUAGGGGAACCUGCGGUUGGAUCACCUCCUUA
rnacentral:rRNA from 1 species